UUAUUUGGUUAUAUCUAAUUAUCUUGUGGUAUUGCAGACAAGUGCUAGUGCUUAAAAAGACGACUUGGGUUUCAUCUGCUCCUUUUGAUCCCUUUGGGGUCGCCCAAAUGUUUUGGCGUCCAAGAGUUGAUGUUUAUCUUGGAAUCACUGAGAUGGCGGGUGUCGUGCUCAAAGAGGUUAUUGGGGUUGCCGCGAUGAUGCCUCCAUAUGGUGUUCGACAUGGAUUUGCUGCCGGCAAUUCUGGAAGCAGGUACUAAUUGAGGGUUUAUGUGGAUGUAUCCUGCAACUUAUCAUCUUUUCUACUUUGGUUGUAGUGGUUUGGUUUCAGGUACAAUCCACCAAAUCCCCAUCUUUAUAUUUGUGUAAUCGAUCUCGACUUUAAUUUUUGUUUAUUUUCUUACAUUGAUACUCUGUCAUGUUUGGAUGUGGAACGAAGAUGGAGGUUCGUUUUGAGUUCUGGAUACAAUAUCUCGUGCUUCCAUUUUUC